CCACAACUUUACAGAGACCCUGGAACAAGUUCUGCGCUGACUGAUCACAAGAGGAGGCGGACCCUGUGUUUACAUCAGUGACACUUGAUGGUCAAAUGCAGUCACGAUGGAUGGACAGUGAUUACCAGAGGUUUAGUCCAGUGGCCCCAACUACACACGGCUUGUGGGGUCGCGAGCCAGAAAGGUUGGGAACCGACGGUUUUCUCUUUAACAAUGCGGGAUGCCUACAGCGCCUCACUGUAUGACAGCUAUACAGCAAUAACAGCUCACUGAUGGACUGCAACAUCACCAUCUUGUGGAACAACUUAGAUAUUUUUUACAUCUUUGACUACAUCAGCAUCACUUCAC